UACGUAGGGACCGAGCGUUGUCCGGAAUCAUUGGGCGUAAAGAGCGUGUAGGCGGCUUUACAGGUCCGUUGUGAAAACUCGAGGCUCAACCUCGAGACGCCGGUGGAAACCGUAAAGCUAGAGUCCGGAAGAGGAGAGUGGAAUUCCUGGUGUAGCGGUGAAAUGCGCAGAUAUCAGGAAGAACACCCGUGGCGAAGGCGGCUCUCUGGGACGGUACUGACGCUGAGACGCGAAAGCGUGGGGAGCGAACAGG
rnacentral:rRNA from 1 species